UUUAGUUUGGUAUAUGUACUAUUGAAAUCUGUGCUUAUUGACAUGUCUGAAUGUGCAUAAAACAUACUCUUGGUGUUAUUUUACACGAUGGGAUUAUCCUGUAUAUUUUUUAUAUAACAUGGACAUUUUCCUAAAUUUUUAAUUAUUUAAUAUUCAAAUGGUUGCUUUGAUUAUUCUGAGAGGGUAGAUAAAAUUUAAAAAAAAAUUUUUUUUUUUUGAGUUGCUGUCUCACACAUGUUGCCCAGGCUGACCUCGAACUUCUAAGCUCAAACGAACCUCCUGCCUCAGCCUCCUGAUCUAUAAUUAUAAUUAUGUGCCACCAUGCCUGGCUGGUAAUUGGGGUUUUGAGGAGAGAACAUCAGGUCUUGUAUUACUGCUAAGAGGUUUUUUUUUUUAAAUGAUAGUUUUCCCACUGCCACAGGCUCGAGAGAGAAUCAAAUAGUAAUAUGUGAAGGGUGCUUGGCAAGCAGGUUCAGGAACAGAAAACUGCACUCUUAAUUUUGCUUGUGUUAAGGUUCCAUCUGUUGACUUCAUUUGGCCCUCUGUACUUCCUGACGCUUGUUCAUAACUUACUUUCCCCCCACUUUGUCAUUUAGGCUGUUAAAGAUUUUUGUUUUAUGACAGAGACAUCAUAAAAAUGUGUAACCUAGAGUAGAGGAAUACUCAAAUUGCAAUUCUAGGAAAGGAAAAUGGACCUUAGUUAACUCAGGUUUAGUUCCCAGCACAACCACUUCUAAGCUUUGGGAACUUGAAAAAAGGCCAAUGUAACAGGUGAGCCUCAGCUGCUUUGUCUAUAAAAUUGGGAAUAAUACCUGUCUUGUGGAUCUCAGGAGAAUGUAAUGAAAAUGUAUCAAAACUGAUGUUACUGGGCUGGGGAUGUGGCUGAAAUGGUAGCGUGCUUGCCUAGCAUGUGUGAGGAACUGGGUUCGAUUCUCAGCACCACAUAAAAAUAAAGAUUGUGUCCACCUAAAAACUGAAAAAUAAAUAUUUUUUUUAAAAACUAAUGUUUCUUUAAAUCCUUUGUGUGGGGAUGAUAUUUGUUAAAAAAUGCAUCUGUCUUCCAAAUUAUACCUAUUUUUAACUUCGUACCUCCUGCUUUCUAAAGAGAAUAAAUAAGAUGAAGUUUGGAUGAUAGCGGCCAUUGCUGUUUUGUCUAUGGAAGAAAGCAUUUAUCAGUAUUUUCCUCAACUGGAUUAAGCUUCUUGGGAAGAAGAAUUAUACUGUAUAUGUAGUUUUAUGAAGUGUCUUUAUACAUAGUAAAUGCAUGAAGUUUUUAAAAAUGUGCUAGAAUAGUCAACUUCAUCCUCUCUACCUGCCUGCCUGC
rnacentral:lncRNA from 1 species